rnacentral:rRNA from 1 species
UACGUAGGGUGCAAGCGUUGUCCGGAAUUAUUGGGCGUAAAGAGCUCGUAGGCGGCUCAGUAAGUCGGGUGUGAAACCCCCAGGCUCAACCUGGGGACGCCACCCGAUACUGCUGUGGCUAGAGUCCAGUAGGGGAGUGUGGAAUUCCCGGUGUAGCGGUGAAAUGCGCAGAUAUCGGGAGGAACACCAGCGGCGAAGGCGGCACUCUGGGCUGGAACUGACGCUGAGGAGCGAAAGCGUGGGGAGCAAACAGG